rnacentral:rRNA from 1 species
UGGGGGAUAUUGCACAAUGGGCGAAAGCCUGAUGCAGCGACGCCGCGUGGGGGAUGAAGGCUUUCGGGUUGUAAACCUCUUGCGCUAUCGAACAAGGCCCGCUUAGGGUGGGUUGAGGGUAGGUGGAGAAGAAGCGCCGGCUAACUACGUGCCAGCAGCCGCGGUAAUACGUAGGGCGCGAGCGUUGUCCGGAAUUAUUGGGCGUAAAGGGCUUGUAGGCGGCUUGUUGCGCCUGCUGUGAAAACGCGGGGCUUAACUUCGCGCGUGCAGUGGGUACGGGCAGGCUUGAGUGUGGUAGGGGUGACUGGAAUUCCAGGUGUAGCGGUGGAAUGCGCAGAUAUCUGGAGGAACACCGAUGGCGAAGGCAGGUCACUGGGCCAUUACUGACGCUGAGGAGCGAAAGCAUGGGUAGCGAACAGG